AUAAUGGAAGAAUUAUUAUUUUUUUUAGUGAUUUUAUUUAUUUAUUUAUUUGAAUAAUCUUAUUUAUUUAAGUAGUUUUUAUUGAAAAACUUUUAUUUUAUUAUAGUUAAUGUAUACUGUGAAGGGCAUAUUAUUAUUUUAUUUUAAAGUAGAUUUUAUUUAUUUUACCUUUUGUAUCAGGGUUCAUUAAUUAUAAGUUAAAUAUUUUAAUAUUCCCGAAAUUAGGAGAUUUAAUAUUUUAUGGGUUAUAAUGUUUUAUAAUUAUACUAAAUUGAUUAUUAGAGGUUAUAUGCUUUUCAAUCCUAAAUAUCUGGUUUUUUAAUAAAUUAAUUUAAUUAAUAUUUAUUUAUGUAAGUUUAUUCUUUUAUUUUUUCUUAUAAAAUAAAUUAAAGUUAAAGGGGAUAAGCUCUUUAACUAAUUUAUAACAUUUUCUUUUUAUCUAAAUUUUUAUAGGCUUAAGAACAGCCAUUUUAUUUCGUUAUAGUUAUGGUUUAGUUUUUAUUUAUUUUUUAAUUGUUUAAAUUUGUAUUAAAACAAAGAUUUUAAUAUAAAAAAUCUAGUGAUAAUGAUGAAAUUAGUAGUACUGCUUAAUUAAGCAUAAGAACUCGGCAAUUAUUAUCUUCGCCUGUUUAACAAAAACAUGUCUUAUUGAUUAGUUAAUAUUAAGUCUGACCUGCUCUAUGAUUAUUUUAUAAUUAAAUGGCCGCAGUAUUUUGACUGUGCAAAGGUAGCAUAAUCAUUUGUCUUUUAAUUGAGGUCUGGAAUGAAUGGUUUGACGAAAGAUAAACUUUUUUUGCUUAAUUUUGUAUAAAUUUAAUUUUUAAGUAAAAAAGCUUAAAUAUUUUUGAGGGACGAGAAGACCCUAUAGAAUUUUACUUUUUUUAUUAUUAUAUUUUCUUUGAGUCUACUAUUAUUAGAAAUUAAUUUUAGAAAAAGUUUUGUUGGGGUGACAUUGAGAUUUUUAUAACUCUCAAUUAUUAAUUUUCACUGAUUAGUGUAUUAUUGAUCCUUUUUUAUGGAUUAUAAGAUUAAAUUACCUUAGGGAUAACAGCGUAAUUCUUUCGGAGAGUUCUUAUCGAUGAAUUUGGAGUUUGCGACCUCGAUGUUGGAUUAAAAUAAGUUACUGGUGUAGCAGCUAGAUAACUAGGUCUGUUCGACCUUUUAAUUUUUACAUGAUCUGAGUUCAGACCGGCGUGAGCCAGGUUGGUUUCUAUCCUCAAUAAAUUAAAACAUUUUAGUACGAAAGGACCAAAUGUUUGUAUUAAUUAUUUUUUAAUGAUUAAUAUU
rnacentral:rRNA from 1 species